UUGUGAUAGUGAGUAAGUCUCAUGAGAUCUGUCACUUUUAUAAGGGCAAGUUUCCUUCCACAAGCUCUGUUUUUUUGCCUGCUGCCAUCCAUUUAAGGUGACUUGCUCCUCCUUGCUUUUCGCCAUUAUUAUGAGGCUUCCCCAGCCACAUGGAACUCCAGAAUAAAGGCCUUUCAUAUUCUUCCACACAAUAUUCAAAAAACCUGGGUUCAUCCUUGGAGCAAUAUAUGAAAGAAAACAGAAAACAGCCACAGGAGCCUGGAGGGACAGAGGAGCUGGUCGCUUUGUGGACCACUGUACACCUGAGAAAGGUGACUCUUGAAAGGAAAAGAGGUUGCUUGACGUACCCUUUGAAGUUCACGGGCACUGCAAAGAAUGCAUUUUUGUAGCUGAUCCAGCUCAAAUGCCCAGAUUCAUCCACAUCUGCAGCUUAUGUCACAGGGCUGGCAGCUAACAGAAACCAUCAGAUCUGCCUUUGUUUUCUUAUCAAAUCAUAUGUGAUAAUGUCACAACCAGUAAGUUGUGUUUUCAGGUAUGUGUUUGUACUGACUUGACAGUGAACCUAAAAAGUGAAAUAAAUAUGAAGAACGAGAAAUUCUAAAUUCUCACCCUUCAGGGGUGUUGGUAUUAUCAAUUUGCCUGUGUUGUCUUUAAACACACACACACACAUACACACACACACACACACACACACACACACAUCUUCUUUAGCUCUGGUGUAUAGAAAAGCAGGACAAAUCCUACAUUGACAAAUUAAUGACAGUAGUAAGCUAAGUCAUUUUAUUUUAUUUUAUUUUAUUUUUCUUUAUUUAUUAUUAUUAUACUUUAAGUUUUAGGGUACAUGUGCACAAUGUGCAGGUUAGUUACAUAUGUAUACAUGUGCCAUGCUGGUGCGCUGCACCCACUAACUCGUCAUCUAGCAUUAGGUACAUCUCCCAGUGCUAUCCCUCCGCCCUCCCCCCACCGCAC
rnacentral:lncRNA from 10 species